AUUGAACGCUGGCGGCAGGCCUAACACAUGCAAGUCGAGCGGCAGCGGGACCUUCGGGUUGCCGGCGAGCGGCGGACGGGUGAGUAAUGCCUAGGAAUCUGCCUGUUAGUGGGGGAUAACGCGGGGAAACUCGCGCUAAUACCGCAUACGUCCUACGGGAGAAAGCGGGGGCUCUUCGGACCUCGCGCUAACAGAUGAGCCUCGGUCGGAUUAGCUAGUUGGUGGGGUAAUGGCCCACCAAGGCGACGAUCCGUAACUGGUCUGAGAGGAUGAUCAGUCACACUGGAACUGAGACACGGUCCAGACUCCUACGGGAGGCAGCAGUGGGGAAUAUUGGACAAUGGGCGAAAGCCUGAUCCAGCCAUGCCGCGUGUGUGAAGAAGGUCUUCGGAUUGUAAAGCACUUUAAGUCGGGAGGAAGGGCUGCAGGUUAAUACCUUGCAGCCUUGACGUUACCGACAGAAUAAGCACCGGCUAACUUCGUGCCAGCAGCCGCCGUAA
rnacentral:rRNA from 1 species